CAUAUACUCCUCGCCCCCCACCCUCUCUCUCAUUUGAAUUCCUAGACAGUAUUGCGCUAGUUAUUAAUAUGGAUCAGGUAGCUGCAAGUUUCAGAACUUAUAUUAAGCAAAUUUACAUGAUCUCAUAUUUAUGAAAGCCUUUCUAGGCUAUAAUCGUUUGCUUUAGUGUUUUUGUCUUAUUAAUAUUGUUGAUGUAAAAUCAGUAUUAACUCAAUACUUUUUCAAGGUUAACUCGGGAAAAUUUAGUUAUUUUACCCUUUCAGCAGAGAUUAGACACGAGCAUUUGGAUAUUAAUUUUGUUUCGCACGAGGAAUAAGUAACAACAACCCGUUAGGCCUUAUUCCGCUAAAGUCUAAACCUUCUCACGUUUCACGAGUGCUUUGUGAUGGUUUUACUAAAGGAUUAAUGCCACGGUCAAUGGCACUGAAUAAGCAGCUUUGGUGGAGGUCUGGGUAGUGCCACAUCGAACAAGACAAGAAGGAUUCAGUGUCGUCAGUGGUUGAAGACGCAGUUCCUGGGUUGGCUUUUGUGCAUCUUCUUUAGGGAUUGGUCGACUGAUUCAUUGCUCAGUUGCUUUGCCGCCCAAGUGAGAACAACCAGAGAGACCCCGGGUCACCAAGUAACCUGGUAACAAACAAAUGUCCUGAUUGACUCCCCUUGCACCUGGUGCCCGGGCAUGGGUACAUCCCAAUUUCGAAGAUAACGUUAUGGAGACCAUCCUUCAAGGUGAAGACUACUCACGACUCUGAUGGGGGGCCCGUUAAACAUCGUUUGCUUAACUGUUGGACAGGGCAGUCAAGAAGCCAAUUUGAAACGGCAACUACCUGGAGGUCGAUGAAGUGUUCUCAGGUGCAGAAGCAGAGGAGAUCGUACAACAUAAAUACUGUUCAAGUUUUACUUGGACCAAAGAUAAAGCAGCAUCGAACAACUUUUGUCGUUAUGUUGAAACACUUGCAGGCCUUCUCUUUCAAGAGUGAUUUUUCAGAGCAGCUUUCAAACAUUUUAAAAUGAGGAAAGAUUGAGACUUUUUAACUACCAAUAUGUUUGUGUCACGUUCAGCUUAGAAUUUGUUGUUCAGACUUCAAUAUAUUAUUUAAGAGAUAAAAUCAUCACAUAAGUCUCACGCCCUGUAGAAGUAGUAUAUAGUAUCAUUACUUACAGAAUGAUAAUGAAAAUAUUCUCUAGCCUGAAGAACUACGUCGAUUAUUGUUUGUGCCUAUGAGUAUCAGUUUUUUUGUCGUUGCAUCACGUAUUCCUUAAAAUGAACACGCGUUAUGUAUGCGGAUAAAAACAAGGAAAGCUAUGUCACUGGUUUGAAUAAUGGAGAAUAGUUGAGAAGUAAUAUAGGUAUUAAGGUAUCCUAUGACCCCAUAGCGAUAGUUUUGCAGCUUUAGUGGAAUAAGUUUAGAGUUACAAGGAGUUAUAAGUCUCAAAGACUUGUUGGUCCGUCCGAGGAGAC